rfam:Triticum aestivum genome assembly, contig: Triticum_aestivum_CS42_TGACv1_scaffold_404129_5BL
UUGGUACUCCCUCCGUCCGGAAAUACUUGUCACCGAAAUGGGUGUAUCUAGACAUAUUUUAGUUCUAAAUACAUCCUUUUUUAUUCAUUUAUGCGACAAGUAUUUCUGGACGGAGGGAGUACAAG